rnacentral:rRNA from 1 species
UUAGUGGCGGACGGGUGAGUAACGCGUGGGUAACCUGCCUUACACAGGGGGAUAACACUUAGAAAUAGGUGCUAAAACCGCAUAAGCGCACAGCUUCGCAUGAAGCGGUGUGAAAAACUCCGGUGGUGUAAGAUGGACCCGCGUCUGAUUAGCUUGUUGGCGGGGUAACGGCCCACCAAGGCGACGAUCAGUAGCCGGCCUGAGAGGGCGGACGGCACAUUGGGACUGAGACACGGCCCAGACUCCUACGGGAGGCAGCAG